CAGCCUGAAAUGAUGCUGUGAAUUCAUGUCUCUUCUCUGAGGUGCAUUGUGGAGACAACUAGAUGAAUCUCUGAUCAGGCUU
ensembl:snoRNA